rnacentral:rRNA from 1 species
GGCAGCAGGGGUGUAGCAAUACACUCGCUGGCGACCGGCAAACGGGUGCGGAACACGUACGCAAUCUACCCAUAACUGAGGAAUAGCCCUCCGAAAGGAGGAUUAAUACUUCGUAACCUUUUUAAGUGGCAUCACUUGAUUAGUAUAGCUCCGGCGGUUAUGGAUGAGCGUGCGGCUGAUUAGGUAGUUGGCGGGGUAACGGCCCACCAAGCCUGCGAUCAGUAACUGGUGUGAGAGCACGACCAGUCACACGGGCACUGAGACACGGGCCCGACUCCUACGGGAGGCAGCAGUAAGGAAUAUUGGUCAAUGGACGCAAGUCUGAACCAGCCAUGCCGCGUGAAGGAUGAAGGUCUCUGGAUUGUAAACUUCUUUUAUAGGGGACGAAACCCGGGUAUUCUUACCCGAUUGACGGUACCCUAGGAAUAAGCACCGGCUAACCCGUGCG